GCUUAGAGAGCACGGCUUAAGUGCAGCCCGCGCCAGGACCAUCUGCCGUGAGGGCUGGUUCAUUCCAGUGAGGUAAAUCUGACUAUGACACCAUCCCAGUGACCAAGGACUGGCACCUACAAUAAAGACCACUACAUCAGCUGAGCAAGGAGGGAUCUGGGCUGGAAUACAGGCAUCAUUGGGAGCAUAGGUGUAUGAUCAUGAAUAAAACUGUCUGCAUUACAUCAAAAGAGAAAAUGAUUGAAGUUUUGGGAAAGGUGCUGUUUGGAG